CAUAAAUGUAAUCCAUACUAUAGUGGUUAAAUUCAUGUCUUCAGAGGCAAUAUGAUAGGUGAGUGAGAAACAGAUCAAUAUAUUUAGUUCCCUUUUUUUCUGUAAAGCUACACUUUCACUUCAAGCCACCUACUGGUUGGGGGUGGUCAAAGGUGGAGCUUUAUAGUAUUAAAAAAAGACUUAAAUAUUGAUCUGUUUCUAACCCAACCUAUAAUAUUGCUUCUGAAGACAAUGAUUUAACCACUGAAGUCACUUGGAUUACCUCUAUGUCCUUUUUGGACCAUCUGAAAUCUGGUUACCAUUCACUUGCAUUGUGUGGACCUACAGAGCUGAGAUAUUCUUCUAAAAAUCUUAGUUUGUGUUCUAUAGAAGAAAGUAAGUCAUACAAGAUGGGAACACCUGACUACGCCACCCAAGGAAUUGCACCCAGGGAAAUGGUUCAACCCAAAAGGUCACUCAGGUUUGUUUGUGCAAUAAGCAGACAAGAAUUCCAACUCGAUUCUUAGAUAUUAACACACACACGGGGAAAUAACAUUCAUAAAUAUACAAACUCAAAAUCACAAUCCUUAUUUGAUAAUUCCAUUAAAAAAGGUAGAAGUGGCCAAAAGAAUAAAACCACCAAUAUAACUCCUAAAAACAGAUCAGAGGCAUACCAGGGAGAGAAACUUCCAGGGUAUGCUGCAGAAUAGCACCGCGCGCACACACACACACCACAAUAAAAGUAAGAUCAGUGUAAUGAAAAGGCAACCACCACCAGGGGAAUAGUCUCUCCAACCAGUGACACCACUCAAACUAAGAAAGGAAAAAAAAAAUAAAUAAAUAAAUAAAUAAAUAAAAACACCCCACACAUUAAAAAAGGCAAUAAACCAAUGUCAGUUCAAUAUCACUAAAUACCUGUACAUUUACCUUCACGAAUGACCUAUUAUAAUGUGGGCAUUCACUGGAAUUUCAAUGCAGAAGAGUCUAGCUUGGCCUAGGAAGCUAAGGCCCAAUCACCUAUGUAAAAGGAGCACAAGUCAUCAAGGGAAACUCCAAAAAAAACAAGAAAAUCAUACGAAAGAUCAAGGAUCACAAACAAACCUAACAGCAAAUAAAGCCACCCGAUUACUAAACAAUACAAAAACAAAUCAAGCCGUUUAAAUUAAUAACAAAUACUCAAAUAGUUCAGGUAAGGAUAAGUGAAAGGGACAUUUGCAUCAGCACCAUAGAAGGCAAAAUAGCAAGGUCACCGUCACGAUAUUACGAGGGCCAAACUGGAGUUGAAGCAGCCAUCCGCCAACCAGCAGGGUACAUCACCACCUUCUAUUCCCAAAAGUAGCACCACAAGAUAGAAUGGAAGUUUUAACACCAAGCAAGAGAAGUGGUUGAAACUGACUACCGUACUUCAUGCUUUUGAUAAACUCUCAGAAAGCAAAGAGCAAUUGAAAGCAGCACUAGCAUUUGUUCCAAAGUUAAACUCGCAGGACUGAAAGGAUAAGGUGCACUCACUCUGGGCACACCGAUCUCUCAUUGAGUUUGCUGGGGCUUAAUACUGUAUACUUGCACCUAAUGACCAAUUACUAACAGGUGUAAGGAGGGAAUCACCGAAAGAGUAAGAAAUCCUUAAAGGGCCAGGCUCUAAUAUCUGCAUUGCCAUAAUAUAAAAAGUCAAUCCCCCUGAAAGUCACUAUAUCAUUUGCACUCUAAGCUCAAAUAUCAAACUCAGGUUUUGCAUGUUUUUACACCAUCACCAGGUCUUCUAACAAUGAGAAUUUGGAUUGAAUCAAGGAAGGAUUCACACUCCAAUUGUGUUUCUAACCCAAAAUAUUUAAACUGUUGUCACUGUUGUUGACAGUGUCAUUCAUAAUGCAGCAAUGCUAAAGUUUUUUCAAAUAUUACAUCAUGGUACAGGAUUCAAUAUACUCCCAAAAUGUUUUGUUAACUUGCACCAAAACACUGACACAACUGCACCUGUUUAGUUUAGCAAGGCAUUUGUUUACCCUACACUGUAAAUGUGGUUAACCAUUACCUACUUUGCCAUGCUUUUUUAUGGAUCAGUGGUACUAACAAGACAUUACAGACUGUGGUGAAGUCUGAAAUGCAGCAAGGGGAAGUGUUUGCUAAGAUGAGUUCCUUCAUGACCUCCUUUCAUUGAAGACAGCUUUUGGUUAUUAUCAUGACUGAGUGGAGCACACCACACUUGAAAGAGAUUCUUAUUGGGAACUCUGGGUUUUCCAUGACCACGAUUACUUUGUGCCACACUUCCUACAGUUCAAAAGUCAUUCUGCAGAAAAUGGAGACAACAUCCAGAUUAUAGAGAAACAACCCAAGACAUCAAAUGAAAAAUGCCACUGUUGAAGCACGAUUGACAACACAGGACAAACUCCUCACUACUGUGACCUCUUUCUCUUAGUGUCUUAAUGCAUGUGUAAAGGACUGACCUGUAUAUAAAAAUACAAAUUCAUGAACUACUUCAUAUGAAUACUACACUGGGUUAUCAUUCCUUUAUUUCAACAGAAAUAUCUCCAUUUUAAUGCAAACGAGCAGGCCGUCAUAUCUAAUCAGCUUUCUGAAGAGGAGUUCGGUCAAAUGUAGCUACUCAAAUUCACAAUACAAUAAUGUGAAAGACACUAGGAGUAGAACAAACUCUUCUGACUUGCUGCAUGAAACUUCAAACUACAAUAAUCGGUCAAAAUUAAUCAGGGAGACAGUAUAUUUCUGUUUCUUUUAUAAGUCAAGACAAAAAAGGCAAUCGGGAGAUGACCAACAUGUAAAAAUGUUUUGUUACAGGUAAAUAUAUAAAAGGCCAAGAUGUCAUCGUUACCUCUUGCGGUAUGAAUGAACUAUAUUACAGUUGAACUCGGCUUUAACCAAGAAUGAGAACCUCCAUCAACCCCCAACAUGGAAACAAACAGGUAUACAUUUAACAUUUACUUUGCAUACCCCUCAGAUAAUCAAAGAAAAACAAGGUAGAAAUUAAUUUAAUCUUCACAAACUUUCUCACUAACUAGGGCAGAGAACAUUCUACAAACAUGUGGUGGAACAAGUGAAAAAGUUAAAAAGGAAAAGCCAGAGGAAGGAAAUAAAUGUAAGCAAUAGCAGUUUGGUGAGGGAAAAUUAAAUGCAAAUUAUGUUUUGCGAUUUUUACAUCUCUAGGUUUAGCAUACACAAACAGUCAAAACAAGUAUAGAUAUAUGCAGUAAACAAAGUAAAAGCCCUUCAGAUGUUUAAAUCUGUUAACAUCCUUUCAACUGUAUCACAUUAACACUCGGCUUUAGCACAAAUACAAUGUCAUUCCUCAUGUGCAAGAGUCUAACAGAGUAUUUGAAGAUAGCACGGCCCCCCAAAAGCCUUUCUUACCACAAAUCCUUGAAAACCAAUGGGGAUGAACUAGAACUUUUAAAAAUAAAAGGAGUAAAAAAAAAAAAAACUAAAAAAAAAAACCCACACA